rnacentral:rRNA from 1 species
GUGCCAGCAGCCGCGGUAAGACGAACCGUGCGAACGUUAUUCGGAAUCACUGGGCUUAAAGCGCGCGCAGGCGGGCCGGCACGUCGGUCGCUGAAAGCCCCCGGCUCAACCGGGGAAGGGGCGUCGAUACGACCGGCCUGGAGGGGCGUAGGGGGGCCCGGAACUUCCGGUGGAGCGGUGAAAUGCGUUGAGAUCGGAAGGAACGCCCGUGGCGAAAGCGGGGCCCUGGACGCCAUCUGACGCUGAGGCGCGAAAGCCAGGGGAGCGAACGGGAUUAGAUACCCCCGUAGUCC